GAUCAUGGCUCAGAGCGAACGCUGGCGGCAGGCCUAACACAUGCAAGUCGAACGGAUCCUUCGGGAUUAGUGGCGGACGGGUGAGUAACACGCGGGAACGUGCCCUUUGGUUCGGAACAACUCAGGGAAACUUGAGCUAAUACCGGAUGUGCCCUUCGGGGAAAGAUUUAUCGCCAUUGGAGCGGCCCGCGUCUGAUUAGCUAGUUGGUGGGGUAAAGGCCCACCAAGGCGACGAUCAGUAGCU
rnacentral:rRNA from 1 species